GCCGAGUUAGCUCAGGUAGUAGAGCGCAGGACUGAAAAUCCUGGCGUCCCCAGUGCAAGUCUGGGACUCGGCACCA
rnacentral:tRNA from 1 species